ensembl:lncRNA
GUGAUAGAUGUGAGACUUUUAGAUGGCACCACAGGUUGAGUGUUACACUCAGCACACAGCCUAUCAUUUCCUGAGCUCUUACUGUGUUUCCUAUACACGCUCAGAUAAACCUCAGAACAGAGAAGACAAGAUUGUUACAACUUCAUACACGUGUCAUCCAGCUGGCGUGAACUUGGAUCACGACACGAGUGGCUCCGUAGGACGCGGAGGCAGGUGAGAUUCUGACCGAGGAGUUGUCACGCGCUCGUGCCGGGGAGCGUGCUGUGUGCUGGAGAGAGGAGAACAGACACAGGCGGGGCCGUGUGCGGGACCCCACCAAAGGCAGACACCGUGCUGGGCUUCUUGGCCCAGGCCCUUCUUACCUUCUUAGACUGAUAUCUCAGGAUGUUAGAGAAUUCCAGACCCCUGCUACUGUAGGUGUGUGUGUCUGUGCAUGAGUGUGUG